UUGACGGGGCCGCACAAGCGGUGGAGUAUGUGGUUUAAUCGAUGCAACGCGAAGAACCUUACCUGGUCUUGACAUCCCAGAGAUCCCUUGGAAACUUGGGAGUGCUUCCAUUAGGAAGAAUCUGGAGACAGGUGCUGCAUGGCUGUCGUCAGCUCGUGUCGUGAGAUGUUGGGUUAAGUCCCGCAACGAGCGCAACCCUUGCCUUUAGUUGCCAGCAGUUCGGCUGGGCACUCUAAAGGGACUGCCGGUGUUAAACCGGAGGAAGGUGGGGAUGACGUCAAGUCCUCAUGGCCUUUAUGACCAGGGCUACACACGUACUACAAUGGCCGAUACAAAGGGCAGCGACAUCGCGAGGUGAAGCCAAUCCCAUAAAAUCGGUCUCAGUCCGGAUUGGAGUCUGCAACUCGACUCCAUGAAGGCGGAAUCGCUAGUAAUCGCGGGUCAGCAGACCGCGGUGAAUACGUUCCCGGGUUUU
rnacentral:rRNA from 1 species